rnacentral:rRNA from 1 species
GUAGGUGGCAAGCGUUGUCCGGAAUUAUUGGGCGUAAAGCGCGCGCAGGGCGGUCCUUUAAGUCUGGGUGUGAAAGCCCACGGGCUCAACCGUGGAGGGUCAUUGGAAACUGGGGGACUUGAGUACAGAAGAGGAAAGCGGAAUUCCAAGUGUAGCGGUGAAAUGCGUAGAGAUUUGGAGGAACACCAGUGGCGAAGGCGGCUUUCUGGUCUGUAACUGACGCUGAGGCGCGAAAGCGCGGGGAGCAAACAGGAUUAGAUACCCUGGUAGUCCACGCCGUAAACGAUGAGUGCUAAGUGUUAGGGGGUUUCCGCCCCUUAGUGCUGCAGCUAACGCAUCAAGCACUCCGCCUGGGGAGUACGGCCGCAAGGCUG